UCGUAAGCGGCAGGGCAGAGGUAAGCUCAGUGACUUCAGGAGCAAAGAGGAGAAAGCCGUGACUUCUGCCUUCCCAGGUGGAGGGCAGUCGGGAGAGGCCAGUGAUGCCCGAGCAGGACAUGGGGAGGCACGGGCAGGUAGAUGUGACGUGGUCUUCCUGACAUGCUCAGGAGGAAGGUGCCCCUGGAAAAGGCCACCGCCUAGGCAAAGCGCAGAGCUAGGGGAGGCCAAGUGCCCUCAGGGCACCACACUAGUUCAGGGCAGCUGACCCCGGAGGAGGGAGAGCGGAGAGUUCCAUCUUUCCAUCCCCACCAAGGAAACUGGAUUUGUGCCAGUGGAACUCGGACGGACUGCAAGCCACCAGGGCGACGCGGUCAGUCCUGUAUCCCCACGGUCGCCUUCAGACCUGCUGGGAGUGUGACAGGGGGCGGGUUCAGCCAGCCGGGGGGAGAGGGAGCCGCAGGCCGGCCUGGACUGUCAGAGACAUGCUCCGUGGUAAUGAGAGGAAAUAGAAAAUGUAAUUAACGUGUCUGCCACCAGAAAUGAGAGCUAAGUCUAUUACUCUUGUCCUCCGUUUCUAUUAUGAAUUAUUGUGUUUCAAUUAUGAUUUUGAAAGUAUUUCCUUGAGGAAAUAUGUCAGGGUUCUUGUAAAGGGAAAGAAGAAAAUGGAGCCAUGAAAGUUUAAUUUAAGGAAGAAGAAAAUGAAAGAGAAUAGAAAGGCAGGGUAAUUGAGGGUAGCACUGCCUGGCUGUGAGCAGAGGGCCUGACGAGUCUGGAUAAUCAUGGAGUCAUUUCAUAGCAUAUUAGGAAGGAAAGACUGGCAUCUUCAUCCUGUGCCUUCCCAGACUUGGGCACCUACGCGUCUGCUCUGCUGUUGCUGAGAGACCCUUGAGGAAGGAAUGAGGAGGGCCUGAGGGCAUGGCGGCCUGGCCCUAGCAUGCUGCUGGACCUGGGGUGGGGGCAGCGGGUGAGAAAUGCAUGCCCCCCCUCAAAAAGCUCACAGUCUCGUGGUGAACGGGCAGAAGGCUGAUAAAACAGGAAAGAGUGGACAGAGAACUCCCAGUUCAGGCUGAACUAGCACGGCCACACUAAACGACAGGUGGGAGAGCCAGGCUGGGGAUGUGAAUGGGUGACCGGGCUUGACUCGCUGCUCUCGGGGGAGCAGACACCUCGGUGGUCGUUAGAAAGGACAGAUGCAUUGAAGGGGCUUCCAUCCCUCACUUACCAUGUGGCUGGGAAUUCAGUCAAGAACCAGCCCCCAGCCUUCCCCCUAAGGACAGCACAGGCCACAGGGGAAGACAGACACGUCAGGGAACAAUUACAGAGCAAGGAGGUCGGAGCUAAAAUGGCAACAUCCACAAGGGGUUAUGGGAUCUCAGACGUGAGCAGUGAAUCCUGUCUAGGAGGAAACCAGAUUGCCAAGAGAAAGACAGCUUUGAGGUGAGGAAGCUCAACCUUGGGGAAGCUCAGCAGGUCAUCCACAAAGUGAAAUGUGGGGACAGAAGUGGAACCCGCGACUUCCUCCCUCCAGAAGCAGGACACCCCCACCCCCACCCCUCCUCCUUUCCUUCUGCACUGCCCCGUCUCUCCGGGCACUGCACCCAGGGCCCUUGAUUAUGAGCUCAGACUGAUGCUAGACUUUGAAGAUAAGCAGUCCAGGAAGCCACAGGUGUGUGCUCAGGGAAAGCACCGUCAGAGGGCGGGAAACACCCAAAUGAGCCGCUCUGAAGGCGGCUGGGACUGGGAUGUGUCCUCGCGUCAGUCUGCAGAGGAAGGAACACGGACCUUUCUGUCGGGAUGGUCAGCUAGUUCACAGGUUUGCUGGCUAAAACUUUUCCUGAUGACCUCCUCUGCAUCUUUCCCAGAUGUACUGCCUUCGGACAGCUCCGCUUUGACUGAAAAGCCCACCUGAAUCCCUGCAGGUUGCUGGCAGCAGGUGUGACCUGGAACCCGGAGCUUUUCUGCAUUCAUCCUCGGGACUGGAGGUCAUGCCCUUUAGUAAGAGCUAUCUCAGCACACCAGUCCAGUCCCCCUUUGAGCAGCAAGCAGCAUUGUGAAAAGGGACAGAUGAAUAAUAGUGACUGUUUACGAGAAAUUCUAAUCUUAGGGCAGUUCAAGGUAAAGACAGACACUGUCCAGGGACAGCCAAGAACAACAGUGCCAGAACACACGGAGACAGA